CCAGGUUGAUCAAGUGGCACCUUGAAAAAGUAAUGGUACUCGGAAAUCCCCUUCUCGAAGCCAAGGAGGUGUUCAUUGCAAAUCUCAUCGCCUAGAAAGUUGUUCUCAAUAGUCAACCUCUCACUCAAAAGGGCAUCUCUCUCCUUGACCAAGUCUUUAUUCUUCCCGGUUGCUCUCUGAAGAUCUAACCUAAGAUCUUCGUUGGACCUUUGUAGUAGACGAUUGUCAUUUUAGGCCUUGGUAAGAGCGACAACAACUUUUUCCCGAUCGUCCUCUACAUUCUUCAGGACCUUCUCCAAGUGUUGAGUCAGAUCCUCGUUUGCCUUCAAGGAAGCCUCUAGGUCUUGUCGGGCAGAGUCUAGCUCCUCGGUCAUUAGGUUUUUUCUUGUCAAGAGUGAGAUUUUAUUGAAGGUGCUCCACUAUUCUCACGUUCAAGUCCAACGGACCAACAAUCAAAGGCCCCUCGGGAAUUUUCCUCUUUCGCCUUUUAUGUGAAUAUAUAGACCUUUCCCGAGAGGACUUCCGUUUUCCUCCACUUUUACGGGGGCAACCUCGGGAGCAGGGGCUGAAGUAGGAGGGGUGGAAGAAGGUUGAGGCUCCAGGGCUAUCUGCAGAGCAGCGUUGACGGUGCAGGAAGGAAUGAUGGACUUUGGGAGCAGAGGACGAACGAUACCGAAGGAGGUACCUUCUCCGGUCUUCUGAAACUCUUCUUUUCGUCGAGCCAUCAUCGGUAAAAAAAACUUUACCUUUCUCCAUUGCACCAAAGAAAUCUGCGACACAAAAGAAAAUUUAGAUAAGUUACAAAUGACAGCCCAAGAAAAAAAACAUAAAAGGC
rnacentral:sRNA from 1 species